AAUGAACGCUGGCGGCAGGCCUAACACAUGCAAGUCGAACGGGUCCUUCGGGACUAGUGGCGGACGGGUGAGUAACGCGUGGGAACAUGCCCUUUGGUACGGAAUAGCCUCGGGAAACUGGGAGUAAUACCGUAUGUGGUCGAGAGACGAAAGAUUUAUCGCCAAAGGAUUGGCCCGCGUUGGAUUAGGUAGUUGGUGGGGUAAUGGCCUACCAAGCCGACGAUCCAUAGCUGGUUUGAGAGGAUGAUCAGCCACACUGGGACUGAGACACGGCCCAGACUCCUACGGGAGGCAGCAGUGGGGAAUCUUAGACAAUGGGGGAAACCCUGAUCUAGCCAUGCCGCGUGAUCGAUGAAGGCCUUAGGGUUGUAAAGAUCUUUCAGGUGGGAAGAUAAUGACUGUACCACCAGAAGAAGCCCCGGCUAACUCCGUGCCAGCAGCCGCAGUAAGAC
rnacentral:rRNA from 1 species